GUUAUAUGGUCAAGCGAAUAAGCGCAUAUGGCGGAUGCCUUGGCGGUAGAAGGCGAUGAAGGACGUGGUAGCCUGCGAUAAGUGUCGGCGAGCUGGCAAACAAGCUUUGACCCGGCAAUCUCCGAAUGGGGAAACCCACCUCGCAAGAGGUACCGUGCACUGAAUUCAUAGGUGUACGGAGCGAACCCGGCGAAUUGAAACAUCUCAGUAGCCGGAGGAAAAGAAAUCAACCGAGAUUCCCCUAGUAGUGGCGAGCGAACGGGGACCAGCCCAGUCGUGGUAAUCGGGUGAGUGCUAGUGAAACAGUCUGGAAAGUCUGGCCAAAGAAGGUGAUAGCCCUGUAUACGAAAGCACGAGCCCGUGAGCGACGAAGAGUAGGACGAGACACGUGCAAUCUUGUCUGAACAUCGGGGGACCAUCCUCGAAGGCUAAAUACUCUCUACCGACCGAUAGUGAACCAGUACCGUGAGGGAAAGGCGAAAAGAACCCCGGUGAGGGGAGUGAAAUAGAACCUGAAACCGUAUGCGUACAAGCAGUCGGAGCCCCGCAAGGGGUGACGGCGUACCUUUUGUAUAAUGGGUCAGCGAGUUAUUUUCAGUGGCGAGGCUAACCGCGUAGGGGAGCCGUAGGGAAACCGAGUCUUAAAUGGGCGUCACAGUCGCUGGGAAUAGACCCGAAGCCAGUCGAUCUAUCCAUGUCCAGGAUGAAGACCAGGUAACACUGGUUGGAGGUCCGAACGAACCACUGUUGCAAUAGUGCGUCGAUGAGGUGUGGAUAGGAGUGAAAGGCUAAUCAAGGCUGGCGAUAGCUGGUUCUCCCCGAAAGCUAUUUAGGUAGUGCCUCGAGUGAACACUCAGGGGGGUAGAGCACUGUUUGGAGAAGGGGGCCAUCACGGCCUACCAACUCCAUGCAAACUCCGAAUACCCUGAAGUGAUACUCGGGAGACACACGGCGGGUGCUAACGUCCGUCGU
rnacentral:rRNA from 1 species